rnacentral:rRNA from 1 species
GCAACCCUUAUCCCUAGUUGCCAGCAUUCAGGUGGGCACUCUAGAGAGACUGCCGGCGACAAGCCGGAGGAAGGUGGGGACGACGUCAAGUCAUCAUGGCCCUUAUGUCCUGGGCUACACACAUGCUACAAUGGCGGACACAACGGGUUGCGAACCCGCGAGGGGGAGCUAAUCCUAUCAAAGUCCGUCUCAGUUCGG